rnacentral:rRNA from 1 species
UACGGGGGGGGCAAGCGUUGUUCGGAAUUACUGGGCGUAAAGGGCUCGUAGGCGGCCAACUAAGUCAGACGUGAAAUCCCCAGGCUUAACCUGGGAACUGCGUCUGAUACUGGAUGGCUUGAAUCCGGGAGAGGGAUGCAGAAUUCCAGGUGUAGCGGUGAAAUGCGUAGAUAUCUGGAGGAAUACCGGUGGCGAAGGCGGCAUCCUGGACCGGCAUUGACGCUGAGGAGCGAAGGCUAGGGGAGCAAACGGG